UGGGGGAUAUUGCACAAUGGGGGAAACCCUGAUGCAGCGACGCCGCGUGUGGGAAGACGGUCUUCUGGAUUGUAAACCACUGUCCCCAGGGACGAAAAUGACGGUACCUGGGGAGGAAGCUCCGGCUAACUACGUGCC
rnacentral:rRNA from 1 species